AGUGGUUAAGCUUUUGGCUGCUAAUCAAAAUAUCGAUGGUUUGAAUCCACCAGCCACUC
rnacentral:tRNA from 1 species